GGUUGCCGGCCGUGCGUGCCCCGUUGGGGGUCAGGCGGUUGCUGUUGUCGCCCUGCUUGGUGGGGGAUAG
rnacentral:rRNA from 1 species